rnacentral:tRNA from 1 species
GGGCCCAUAGCUCAGCUGGCUAGAGUACCUGGUCGACAACCAGGGGGUCACUGGUUCAAGUCCAGUUGGGCCCACCA